UAUAAGUGUUUUAUGGCACUUUUUAAAUCCAUAUCCACCUUGUGUGCAAUGUCGGUCGAUCUUCUUUUUUUGAGGAUCGACCAAACAUCAACCUUUAUUUUUUCAACUCUUUGUCUGAAAAAUAUUAUGAAAUAAACAAUUCAAAAUA
rnacentral:misc_RNA from 1 species